rnacentral:lncRNA from 1 species
CAAAGGAGACAAUUUCCUCUAACUCUUUGUUUUGCUAUGACAAUUAAUAAAAGUCAAGGACAGUCGCUCUCCCAUGUCGGAAUUUACCUUCCUCGACUGGUAUUCACUCACGGUCAGUUGUAUGUUGUGAUGUCUAGAGUCAGGUCGAGAAAUGGACUCAAGUUGUUGAUUUUGGAUGAUGAACAAAAAGUUUGCACUUCAACCAAAAAUGUUGUGUAUCGUGAAAUCUUCACCAAUGUCUAGAAUUUUUUUAAGGUAUAAAUGUCUAGCUUUCCAAUCAUAUCUACUAAUAAUGAUGUUCAUUUCGAUCACCAUUGAAACAUUAUGCUACUGGGAUAUAUUUGUUUAGUAUUGGUUAUUUUCUUCUUAUAUUUAUCCCAAUUUUAUCCCUUUAAAGGUUGUUUAUUUUGAUUUCUCAUUGAGUUAAACAACAUAUGCAGUAAUCAACCUAUAACCAAAUAACAACAUCAACAAAUGAAGAAAACAUUUCAUAAGGCACAUAAUCCAACUAUUCUAUAAGCAAAUUAUAAUUACAUACCUUUACUCAAUUGGAUGACCCUUCUUCAGAUGCUCGCCACUUUAGAAAAUUUCUAACUCUCCAUCAGUUCAACAUCAUUUCCAGCCUCUCUCCACUGCUUCAUAACUUUGAUCUCCUCUCUAGCAUUAUAAGCAUCAGCACGUCUCCGGUUGAAUCAGGAAGAUCGUUAAUCGAACGAACUCCUCAUACCCACGCUUCACCUUCCUACGAAAUUGAAACAACCCUUAAGAACAGAAAAUGCACAAUUUUUGUCUAUUAUAAAGCAAUUGAUCAUUGAUUUCUCACAAAGAUUUACUAACUUCAACAUCAAAAUAAAAAUCCUCAAGAACAAAGCUUCAC